rnacentral:tRNA from 1 species
GGCGCCGUGGCAGAGUGGUCUAAUGCGAUAGACUAGAAAGGUUGCGAAUCUCUUUCUGGUUAUCUAUUCUCUUCGGAGGCGCAUGUUCGAAUCAUGCCGGCGUCG